rnacentral:rRNA from 1 species
AUUGAACGCUGGCGGCAUGCCUUACACAUGCAAGUCGAACGGCAGCGGGCCUUCGGGUGCCGGCGAGUGGCGAACGGGUGAGUAAUGCAUCGGAACGUGCCAUUGAGUGGGGGGAUAACGUAGCGAAAGUUGCGCUAAUACCGCAUAUUCUGUGAGCAGGAAAGCAGGGGACCGCAAGGCCUUGCGCUCUUUGAGCGGCCGAUGUCAGAUUAGCUAGUUGGUGAGGUAAAGGCUUACCAAGGCGACGAUCUGUAGCGGGUCUGAGAGGAUGAUCCGCCACACUGGAACUGAGACACGGUCCAGACUCCUACGGGAGGCAGCAGUGGGGAAUUUUGGACAAUGGGGGCAACCCUGAUCCAGCCAUGCCGCGUGAGUGAAGAAGGCCUUCGGUUGGUAAAGCGUCUUUCGGCCCGGGAAGAAAUACGCAUGGGUGAAGUACCCUGUGUGGAUGACGGUACCGGAACAAGAAGCACCGGC